rnacentral:rRNA from 1 species
UUUAGCAGCCAUGUCACCCUGCAACUCACAAUUGGCAGCCUCCUCCCCACUGGAGCCCAGCAGGUGUGAGCCUGGUCAGUACCUGGAGGGGAGACCUCCUGGGAAAAACUGAGGUUGCUGCUGGGA